rnacentral:rRNA from 1 species
ACUCAAAGGAAUAGACGGGGGCCCGCACAAGAGGCGGAGCAUGUGGCUUAAUUCGACGCAACGCGAAGAACCUUACCAAGGCUUGACAUACGCCGGUAACCCCUGGAGACAGGGGCCCCCUUGUGGUCGGUGUACAGGUGGUGCAUGGCUGUCGUCAGCUCGUGUCGUGAGAUGUUGGGUUAAGUCCCGCAACGAGCGCAACCCUUGUCCUGUGUUGCCAGCGACUCUUCGGAGGUCGGGGACUCACGGGAGACUGCCGGGGUCAACUCGGAGGAAGGUGGGGACGACGUCAAGUCAUCAUGCCCCUUAUGUCUUGGGCUGCACACGUGCUACAAUGGCCGGUACAAUGAGUUGCGAUGCCGUGAGGUGGAGCGAAUCUCAAAAAGCCGGUCUCAGUUCGGAUUGGGGUCUGCAACUCGACCCCAUGAAGUCGGAGUCUCUAGUAAUCGCAGAUCAGCAGUGCUGCGGUGAAUACGUUCCCGGGCCUUGCACACACCGCCCGU